AGCUGCGCGGGCACUGCGCCUCCUUUUACAUCAGAGGUAAGCAGCGUCCUGCCCGCCCCCCAGUUGCAAUUGAGACCCACGCGCCUCGGAGGCUCUCAUCCCCGCCCCACAGGCGCGCACCCGCGUCCCCUGCGCGCGCCCGCUCGCCCCAGACCUCCCGAGAUCUCUGAACCGUUCGGUGCCCGGCGUACGCAGGAAAGGCGGGCCGAGGCGCCCGGAGGGCGAUUUAGGAAACCGGUGACUGAAAGCCGCUGCACACGGCCGAUGCGAUAUCUGGACACUGUGCGGCGCUGGCGCCGCGGGAGCUACGGGCCCCGCGCCUGACAAGCGUCGUCCACUCUGAGCAAGGAAAGCGGGGGAAGGAAAGGAAGCAGCAUAAAGGAGGGGAUUCCCUCGGAAUUUUCCGGAACGUCGUGCUCUGUGCUGAGGCUACUUACCACUCCUGUGUCUAGAAUGAAUGAAUGCUCUUUCUCACUCUUCGAAAGGCCAGUUCUGUGUUCUCUGAAGUGUCU